rnacentral:ncRNA from 2 species
CUAGACCUUCGGGGUGAGGUGCAAUUCCUCGAUCGGUGGUAUAGCCCACGACUCCCCGCCCUAAAAAUUGGCGGAGACUGAACCUGUGCAAUUCAGGUGCCGACGGUUAAAGUCCGGAUGGUAGAAGGUUAGC